GAUGAAGAACGUAGCGAAAUGCGAUACUUGGUGUGAAUUGCAGAAUCCCGUGAACCAUCGAGUCUUUGAACGCAAGUUGCGCCCGAAGCCAUCAGGUUGAGGGCACGUCUGCCUGGGCGUCACAUAUCGUUGCUCGAUGCCUAUCGCAUUGCGAUAGGACUUAGGGCGAAUGAUGGCUUCCCGUGAGCGUUGUUGCCUCGCGGUUGGUUGAAAAUCGAGUCCUUGGUAGGGUGUGCCAUGAUAGAUGGUGGUUGAGUGAUGAUGCUCGGGACCAAUCAUGGGUAACUCCACCAGAAUUGGGCUCGGUGACCCACAUGCGUCCCUUGGAUGCUCCCUAAGGAGACCUCAGGUCAGGCGGGGCUACCCGCUGAGUUUAAGCAUAUCAAUAAGCGGAGGA
rnacentral:misc_RNA from 1 species